rnacentral:rRNA from 1 species
ACCGGCGCACGGGUGCGUAACGCGUAUGCAAUCUACCUUGUACAGGGGAAUAGCCCAGAGAAAUUUGGAUUAAUGCCCCAUAGUAUAUAACCUUCGCAUGUUGGUUAUAUUAAAGUUCCAACGGUACAAGAUGAGCAUGCGUCCCAUUAGUUAGUUGGUAAGGUAACGGCUUACCAAGACGAUGAUGGGUAGGGGUCCUGAGAGGGAGAUCCCCCACACUGGUACUGAGACACGGACCAGACUCCUACGGGAGGCAGCAGUGAGGAAUAUUGGUCAAUGGUCGCAAGACUGAACCAGCCAUGCCGCGUGCAGGAAGACGGUCCUAUGGAUUGUAAACUGCUUUUAUACAGGAAGAAACCCUCCCACGUGUGGGAGCUUGACGGUACUGUAGGAACAAGGAUCGGCUAACUCCGUGCCAGCAGCCGCGGUAAUACGGAGGAUCCAAGCGUUAUCCGGAAUCAUUGGGUUUAAAGGGUCCGUAGGCGGUCUUAUAAGUCAGUGGUGAAAGCCCAUCGCUCAACGAUGGAACUGCCAUUGAUACUGUAAGACUUGAAUGCUUAGGAAGUAACUAGAAUAUGUAGUGUAGCGGUGAAAUGCUUAGAUAUUACAUGGAAUACCAAUUGCGAAGGCAGGUUACUACUAAGUGAUUGACGCUGAUGGACGAAAGCGUGGGGAGCGAACAGGAUUAGAUACCCUGGUA